UUGACUUGACUUGACUUGACCUUAAUAACAUUCUAGGGAAUUGUGUUCUCUUUAGCCUCGCUGCAGCAGUUUUUUGGAGGGACCUUUACAAUUUCAGCAUGACAAAAUAUCUCUGUGCACAAAGAAAAGUCAGUAAAGAAUGAUUCAAUUCAAAAACUUGUGCUUUCAUUAUACAGAAAGUAAAACAAACCUUUCGAGUCAGACAGUGAUAAAGAUUAUUUCAGCUUUUGUCUCUGAAAAGAACUCUUAAUUUAAUGAAUACGAUGUAAUUUCAGAAGUUGGCCACUGUGUGUCAUAAUCUGAUGAUGGAAACUGCUCACUGAAGCUCCUGCUGUAGGUGUGUAACCUCUGGUAAACUUCAGACUAAUAUUGUGUGCUGAACAUAAACAUGUUGAUCUGAUGGAGGAAUUUACUUUCAAUGGCUGCAGUACUUGAGUGCAGCACACAAGAUUCUGUUAAUCACCCAACAAGAGUUCAAACAGCGUCUGAACAUGACGUGGUCACACUUCACUGCACUUACAGCACCAGUGACCAAUACCCUUAUCUUUACUGGUACCAGCAGAAAACCAAUGGAUUCCCAGUUUACAAGCAGUGGGUGGAGCUGAUUCACACUGUUGAGAGUGUGAGAGAGUCAAACAGUUAUUCAAAUACUAUUUUUGCCAUCACUGUCUGUCUGAAGACAUCAUGUUUCUCUUUACCUGGAUAAUAUUGCAACUUUGCAUGGGAAUUUCUUUUGGUGAUAAAGUACAACCACUGUUUUCAGAAAAACAUGAUUUUGAGGGUGAAAAUGUGACUCUCUCCUGUAACUACAGUCUCACUAGUGGCAGUAGUGUUUCUCUCCACUGGUAUCGUCAGUAUCUCGAAGGAAAACCAGAAUUUUUACUUCAUGUUACUGAAUAUUCAAACAACUCUGUGCCUGAUCUUCAUCUGUUUUCAAAAGCUAUAAAAGAGAUCAAGCGUGUGGAUCUGAUCAUCUCCUCUGCUGCAGUAUCAGACUCUGCUCUGUAUUACUGUGCUCUGAAACACAAGAACACUGUACAAAAACAUUUCCUUAUCUUAAUUAGUGAUGUUACGUCCUCGGACGUAUGUAAUAUUCUGCAAUUAGUGUUUGUUUGUUUUUUCUUUCGAGUUUCCUUCUCAUCUCUGCUCCAGGUUCCGGCUUCUAAUUGUCUGGGAAAGUGGAUUGGCUCCUCGCUGGUGAUCGCAUCCUUUAAAAGCGCGCUUCUGCGCAAUGCAAGGAAGGCGCGGCUCUGUGUGUGUGUGUUCUGCGGGAGAACGCGUUGUUGUCAGCGUUCCUCCGGCCUAUUGUCAAAUGAUCUUUAAUACUCCAGCUUGUGUACGAUAUUGACCCACUGUUUUUCCCACCAUGUCAUUCUUGGUUAUUUUCUUAUGUUGUUGGUAUUAAAAAGGUAAUCUGUAAAUGUCACCACUCAGUAGGAGUUUGUUUUAGUUGGUUCAGAUGUGUCGGUAUUAAAAGGUAACCUGUAAACGUCACCAUCCAGUAGAAGCUUACUUAUUUGCUUAACAUGUGUCGGUAUUAAAAGGUAAUCUGUAAAUAGCGGUAUGCCCCAUUUUGUAGGGAGUGGGCACCUAUUCUUGUUUAGAGUUUUCUCCUGGUUUUGAGCAGAUAGGGAGAGAGGGAAGUCUGAUGUAUUUUUGUUAAUUUUUUCUUUGUUAGGUUAAGGUAGAUCAUUAAAAAUAGUUAGUUUCUGUUUUGUUUGUUGUUUUGGUUUAUGCCCAUUCCUGGACCUAUUAGCCUACUGGAUGGAUGAUUAAGCUUCUACAAUAAACAAAAAUCUCUCCUUACGUGACAUUCUUCAUUUAUGUUGCUUCCCCACCCCUAGACUGGGACGUAACAGUGAAAAAAGAAAGAUACACAAAGACUAAGAUAACUGUGAUUAAUAUGCAUUAUGUAGAACAGGUAAAUAAUUUGAUAAAUAUCUAAUGAGGUGCAAACCUGAUAAAAGUGAAUAGAUAAAAAAGUGAAAUCAAUGUGACAUUGAAUAGUGUAUUAAGUGUUCUAAUAUUGUUAAUUAUAUCAAAUCCAUGCAAAAGUUACGUUUCAAAGGAUUAUUAUGUGUAACACAUUGGCCCAGUUUCACAGAC